CGAAUACCGAAGAGUAAUGCUUAGGAGACACACGGCGGGUGCUAACGUCCGUCGUGGAGAGGGAAACAACCCAGACCGCCAGCUAAGGUCCCGAAGUCUAUAUUAAGUGGGAAACGAAGUGGGAAGGCUUAGACAGCUAGGAUGUUGGCUUAGAAGCAGCCACCAUUUAAAGAAAGCGUAAUAGCUCACUAGUCGAGUCGGCCUGCGCGGAAGAUGUAACGGGGCUAAAAUAUAGCACCGAAGCUGCGGCAUCAGAGUAAAAUCUGUUGGGUAGGGGAGCGUUGUGUAAGCCGUAGAAGGUGUAUUGAGAAGUAUGCUGGAGGUAUCACAAGUGCGAAUGCUGACAUAAGUAACGAUAAAACGGGUGAAAAACCCGUUCGCCGAAAGACCAAGGUUUCCUGUCCAACGUUAAUCGGGGCAGGGUGAGUCGGCCCCUAAGGCGAGGCUGAAAAGCGUAGUCGAUGGGAAACGGGUUAAUAUUCCCGUACUUGAAUAAACUGCGAUGUGGGGACGGAGCAGGUUAGGUUAGCAGUAGAUUGGAUUGUACUGUUUAAGUUUGUAGGUGGGGUUUUUAGGCAAAUCCGGAAACCUGAUAACACUGAGAAAUGAUGACGACGCUCUAUGGAGCGGAAGUAACUGAUACCCAACUUCCAGGAAAAGCCACUAAGCUUCAGGUUUAUUUAAACCGUACUGAAAACCGACACAGGUGGUUAGGUAGAGAAUACUCAGGCGCUUGAGAGAACUCGGGUGAAGGAACUAGGCAAAAUAGCACCGUAACUUCGGGAGAAGGUGCGCUGGCGUAGUGUGAAGUUUGCACAAAUGGAGCACGAACCAGUCGAAGUGACCCGCUGGCUGCAACUGUUUAUUAAAAACACAGCACUCUGCAAACAUGUAAGUGGAAGUAUAGGGUGUGAUGCCUGCCCGGUGCUGGAAGGUUAAUUGAUGGUGUCAUCGCAAGAGAAGCACUUGAUCGAAGCCCCAGUAAACGGCGGCCGUAACUAUAACGGUCCUAAGGUAGCGAAAUUCCUUGUCGGGUAAGUUCCGACCUGCACGAAUGGCAUAAUGAUGGCCAGGCUGUCUCCACCCGAGACUCAGUGAAAUUGAAAUCGCCGUGAAGAUGCGGUGUACCCGCGGCUAGACGGAAAGACCCCGUGAACCUUUACUAUAGCUUGACACUGAACCUUGAAUUUUGAUGUGUAGGAUAGGUGGGAGACUAUGAAGUGGUAACGCCAGUUAUCAUGGAGUCGUUGUUGAAAUACCACCCUUUAACGUUUGAUGUUCUAACGAAGACUGCGGAACGCGGUUUCGGACAGUGUCUGGUGGGUAGUUUGACUGGGGCGGUCUCCUCCCAAAGCGUAACGGAGGAGCACGAAGGUUUGCUAAUCACGGUCGGACAUCGUGAGGAUAGCGCAAUGGUAAAAGCAAGCUUAACUGCGAGACGGACAAGUCGAGCAGGUGCGAAAGCAGGUCAUAGUGAUCCGGUGGUUCUGAAUGGAAGGGCCAUCGCUCAACGGAUAAAAGGUACUCCGGGGAUAACAGGCUGAUACCGCCCAAGAGUUCAUAUCGACGGCGGUGUUUGGCACCUCGAUGUCGGCUCAUCACAUCCUGGGGCUGAAGUAGGUCCCAAGGGUAUGGCUGUUCGCCAUUUAAAGUGGUACGCGAGCUGGGUUUAGAACGUCGUGAGACAGUUCGGUCCCUAUCUGCCGUGGGCGUAGGAUAAUUGAGAGGGGCUGCUCCUAGUACGAGAGGACCGGAGUGGACGCAUCACUGGUGUACCAGUUGUCUCGCCAGAGGCAUUGCUGGGUAGCUAAAUGCGGAAGAGAUAAGUGCUGAAAGCAUAUAAGCACGAAACUUGCCUUGAGAUGAGUUAUCCCAAUCGAGAGAUUGUAAGGGUUGUUUGAGACGAAGACGUAGAUAGGCUGGGUGUGUAAGCGUUGUGAGACGUUGAGCUAACCAGUACUAAUUGCCCGAGAGGCUUAACUAU
rnacentral:rRNA from 1 species